rnacentral:rRNA from 1 species
GAUGAACGCUGGCGGCGUGCCUAAUACAUGCAAGUCGAGCGAACAGACGAGGAGCUUACUCCUCUGACGUUAGCGGCGGACGGGUGAGUAACACGUGGAUAACCUACCUAUAAGACUGGGAUAACUUCGGGAAACCGGAGCUAAUACCGGAUAACAUGUUGAACCGCAUGGUUCAACAGUGAAAGACGGUCUUGCUGUCACUUAUAGAUGGAUCCGCGUCGCAUUAGCUAGUUGGUAAGGUAACGGCUUACCAAGGCAACGAUGCGUAGCCGACCUGAGAGGUGGAUCGGCCACCCUGGAACUGAGACGCGGUCCAGACUCCUACGGGAGGCAGCAGUAGGGAAUCUUCCGCAAUAGGCGAAAGCCUGACGGAGCAACGCCGCGUGAGUGAAGAAGGUCUUCGGAGCGUAAAACUCUGUUAUUAGGGAAGAACAAAUGUGUAAGUAACUAUGCACGUCUUGACGGUACCUAAUCAGAAAGCCACGGCUAACUACGUG